GUGCCAGCAGCCGCGGUAAAACGUAGGUGGCAAGCGUUAUCCGGAUUUACUGGGCGUAAAGGGUGUGCAGGCGGGACGACAAGUGGUGUAUGAAAUCUCCCAGCUUAACUGGGAUAGGUUAUGCCAGACUGUCGUUCUAGAGGACGAGAGAGGGGGGUGGAAUUCCGGGUGUAGUGGUGAAAUGCGUAGAGAUCCGGAGGAACCCCAGAGGCGAAGGCGGCCCCCUGGCUCGUACCUGACGCUCAGCCACGAAAGCAUGGGGAGCGAACGGGAUUAGAAACCCUGGUAGUCC
rnacentral:rRNA from 1 species